rnacentral:rRNA from 1 species
AUUGAACGCUGGCGGCACGCCUAACACAUGCAAGUCGAGCGGCAGCGAGAUCAGUAGCAAUACUGAUUGUCGGCGAGCGGCGGACGGGUGAGUAACACGUAGGAACCUGCCCAGAAGUGGGGGAUAACUAAUGGAAACGUUAGCUAAUACCGCAUACAUUCGGGAGAAGAAAGCUGCAGCAAUGUAGCGCUUUUGGAGGGGCCUGCGUCCGAGUAGAUAGUUGGUGAGGUAAUAGCGUACCAAGGCGAUGAUCGGUAACUGGUCUGAGAGGACGACCAGUCACACUGGGACUGAGACACGGCCCAGACUCCUACGGGAGGCAGCAGUGGGGAAUCUUGGACAAUGGGGGCAACCCUGAUCCAGCGAUGCCGCGUGAGUGAAGAAGGCCCUCGGGUCGUAAAGCUCUUUAGGCUGGGAAGAAGGGUAGUUGAGGAAAUGCAGCUACUUUGACUGUACCAGCAGAAUAAGCACCGGCAAACUCUGUGCCAGCAGCCGCCGUAA